GAUGAACGCUGGCGGCCUUGCCUAAUACAUGCAAGUCGAGCGCAAAGAUCAGGAGCUUGCUCCUGUGAUUUGAGCGGCGGACGGGUGAGUAACACGUAGGCAACCUACCCUUGAGAUUGGGAUAACUACCGGAAACGGUAGCUAAUACCGGAUACGACUUUUCUGCAUAAGUAGAAUUGUUAAAAGGCGGAUUUAUCUGCCGCUCAUGGAUGGGCCUGCGGUGCAUUAGCUAGUUGGUGAGAUAGUAGCUCACCAAGGCGACGAUGCAUAGCCGACCUGAGAGGGUGAUCGGCCACACUGGGACUGAGACACGGCCCAGACUCCUACGGGAGGCAGCAGUAGGGAAUCUUCCGCAAUGGACGCAAGUCUGACGGAGCAACGCCGCGUGAGUGAUGAAGGGUUUCGGCUCGUAAAACUCUGUUGUUAAGGAGGAAUACUUGAGGUAGUAACUGGCCUUGAGACGACGGUACUUAACCAGAAAGCCACGGCUAACUACGUGCCAGCAGCCGCGGUAAUACGUAGGUGGCAAGCGUUAUCCGGAAUUAUUGGGCGUAAAGCGCGCGUAGGCGGUAAGAUAAGUCUGAUGUGAAAG
rnacentral:rRNA from 1 species